UAGUUGUCGGGUUUUAAUUAACUUGGUAACGCAGCUAACGCGUGAAGUAGACCGCCUGGGGAGUACGGUCGCAAGAUUAAAACUCAAAGGAAUUGACGGGGACCCGCACAAGCGGUGGAUGAUGUGGAUUAAUUCGAUGCAACGCGAAAAACCUUACCUACCCUUGACAUGUACGGAAGCCACGAGAGAUCGAGGUGUGCUCGAAAGAGAACCGUAACACAGGUGCUGCAUGGCUGUCGUCAGCUCGUGUCGUGAGAUGUUGGGUUAAGUCCCGCAACGAGCGCAACCCUUGUCAUUAGUUGCUACAUUUAGUUGAGCACUCUAAUGAGACUGCCGGUGACAAACCGGAGGAAGGUGGGGAUGACGUCAAGUCCUCAUGGCCCUUAUGGGUAGGGCUUCACACGUCAUACAAUGGUACAUACAGAGGGCCGCCAACCCGCGAGGGGGAGCUAAUCCCAGAAAGUGUAUCGUAGUCCGGAUCGCAGUCUGCAACUCGACUGCGUGAAGUUGGAAUCGCUAGUAAUCGCGGAUCAGCAUGUCGCGGUGAAUACGUUCCCGGGUCUUGUACACACCGCCCGUCACACCAUGGGAGCGGGUUUUACCAGAAGUAGGUAGCUUAACCGCAAGGGGGGCGCUUACCACGGUAGGAUUCGUGACUGGGGUGAAGUCGUAACAAGGUAGCCGUAUCGGAAGGUGC
rnacentral:rRNA from 1 species